rnacentral:rRNA from 1 species
AUUGAACGCUGGCGGCAGGCCUAACACAUGCAAGUCGAACGGAGUGGCGGACGGGUGAGUAAUGUCUGGGAAACUGCCUGAUGGAGGGGGAUAACUACUGGAAACGGUAGCUAAUACCGCAUACUAUCAGAUGAGCCUAGGUCGGAUUAGCUAGUUGGUGGGGUAAAGGCCUACCAAGGCGACGAUCCGUAACUGGUCUGAGAGGAUGACCAGUCACACUGGAACUGAGACAAGGUCCAGAAUCCUACGGGGGGCAGCAGUGGGGAAUAUUGGACAAUGGGCGAAAGCCUGAUCGAGCCAUGGCGCGUGUGUGAAGAAGGUCUUCGGAGUGUAAAGCACUUUAAGUUGGGAGGCGUUACCAACCGAAUAAGCACCGGCUAACUUCGUGCCAGCAGCCGCGGUAAUUC